ensembl:lncRNA
GUAGAAUUUAUAGCAGUCGAUGAGUGUGUCUAUUUGAGAUCUUUAAGUGAAACAUUUAAUCUAAAGUGUCCUUCAACGUGUCUAAUUGUUGUAAACUCGUAUGCAAGGUCACUUUGAGUGGGUGCACUUAGGAAAACAACCACCAUCAGUGUCUCCAUUCAAAGUGAUCUUGAUAUGAAACAUAGAACUCAAUUUGAUAGACAUAACAUGGAGGGUCAGGUAGAAUUUGUAGCAGUCGAUGAGUGUGUCUAUUUGAGAUCUUUAAGUGAAACAUUUAAUCUAAAGUGUCCUUCAACGUGUCUAAUUGUUGUAAACUCGUAUGCAAGGUCACUUUGAGUGGGUGCACUUAGGAAAACAACCACCAUCAGUGUCUCCAUUCAAAGUGAUCUCGAUAUGAAACAUAGAACUCAAUUUUUUAGAUGCAAUCAGGUAGAAUUUGUAGCAGUUGUUGUGUACAACUGGUCCAAGCAAAUGCACUUACUGAAUUCAAGAGACAAGUUCUUGCAUGAGUUGGACCAACAAUACAGACUUGUAAUGAAUGCUCUUCCUUACCAGUGAGUCCGGA